rnacentral:tRNA from 1 species
GCCUUCUUGGUGUAGUGGUCAGCACGUUUGACGCAUAUUCGAGAGUUUCGUGGUUCGAGUCCCGGUGAAGGCA